UUCCUGCAGUUGGAUAGCGCGUUGGACUUCUAAUCCAAAGAUCGUGGGUUCGAACCCCACCCCUAA